rnacentral:rRNA from 1 species
UACGGGGGGGGCAAGCGUUGUCCGGAAUUACUGGGCGUAAAGGGCUCGUAGGCGGCCAACUAAGUCCGACGUGAAAUCCCCAGCUUAACCUGGGAACUGCGUCGGAUACUGGAUGGCUUGAAUUCGGGAGAGGGAUGCAGAAUUCCAGGUGUAGCGGUGAAAUGCGCAGAUAUCAGGAGGAACACCGGUGGCGAAGGCGGGUCUCUGGGCCGAUACUGACGCUGGAGGAGCGAAAGCGUGGGGGAGCGAACAGG